rnacentral:rRNA from 1 species
UACGUAGGGUGCAAGCGUUAAUCGGAAUUACUGGGCGUAAAGCGUGCGCAGGCGGUUAUGUAAGACAGUUGUGAAAUCCCCGGGCUCAACCUGGGAACUGCAUCUGUGACUGCAUAGCUAGAGUACGGUAGAGGGGGAUGGAAUUCCGCGUGUAGCAGUGAAAUGCGUAGAUAUGCGGAGGAACACUGAUGGCGAAGGCAAUCCCCUGGACCUGUACUGACGCUCAUGCACGAAAGCGUGGGGAGCAAACAGG